rnacentral:rRNA from 1 species
AGGGUGUAAACGCUGCAGACUUGGUGUUGGGAACCCUUCGGGGGUGCUCAGUGCCGGAGAGAAGUUGUUAAGUCUGCUACUUGGGGAGUACGUCCGCAAGGAUGAAACUUAAAGGAAUUGGCGGGGGGAGCACCGCAACGGGAGGAGCGUGCGGUUUAAUUGGAUUCAACACCGUAAAACUCACCAGGGAAGACUGUUACAUGAAGGCCGAGAUGAAGACUCUGCUAGAUUUUCAGAGAGGUGGUGCAUGGCGUCAGUGACU